rnacentral:tRNA from 1 species
CUUUUAUUGGAUAGAAGACAUCCACUAAUCUUAGGAGUUAGCCCCCCU